rnacentral:rRNA from 1 species
GCGGCGGACGGGUGAGUAACACGUGGGUAACCUGCCUGUAAGACUGGGAUAACUCCGGGAAACCGGGGCUAAUACCGGAUGCUUGAUUGAACCGCAUGGUUCAAUCAUAAAAGGUGGCUUUUAGCUACCACUUGCAGAUGGACCCGCGGCGCAUUAGCUAGUUGGUGAGGUAACGGCUCACCAAGGCGACGAUGCGUAGCCGACCUGAGAGGGUGAUCGGCCACACUGGGACUGAGACACGGCCCAGACACCUACGGGAGGCAGCAGUAGGGAAUCUUCCGCAAUGGACGAAAGUCUGACGGAGCAACGCCGCGUGAGUGAUGAAGGUUUUCGGAUCGUAAAACUCUGUUGUUAGGGAAGAACAAGUACCGUUCGAAUAGGGCGGUACCUUGACGGUACCUAACCAGAAAGCCACGGCUAACUACGUGCCAGCAGCCGCGGUAAUACGUAGGUGGCAAGCGUUGUCCGGAAUUAUUGGGCGUAAAGCGCGCGCAGGCGGUUUCUUAAGUCUGAUGUGAAAGCCCCCGGCUCAACCGGGGAGGGUCAUUGGAAACUGGGGAA